rnacentral:rRNA from 1 species
GGCCAGACUCCUACGGGAGGCAGCAGUGGGGAAUAUUGCACAAUGGGGGGAACCCUGAUGCAGCGACGCCGCGUGGGUGAAGGAGUAUUUCGGUAUGUAAAGCCCUAUCAGCAGGGAAGAACAAUGACGGUACCUGACUAAGAAGCACCGGCUAAAUACGUGCCAGCAGCCGCGGUAAUACGUAUGGUGCAAGCGUUAUCCGGAUUUACUGGGUGUAAAGGGAGCGUAGACGGUGAAGCAAGUCUGAAGUGAAAGGCGGGGGCUCAACCCCCGGACUGCUUUGGAAACUGUUUGACUGGAGUGCAGGAGAGGUAAGUGGAAUUCCUAGUGUAGCGGUGAAAUGCGUAGAUAUUAGGAGGAACACCAGUGGCGAAGGCGGCUUACUGGACUGUAACUGACGUUGAGGCUCGAAAGCGUGGGGAGCAAACAGGAUUAGAUACCCCGGUAU